AACCCAAAAAAAAAAAAGAAAAUCUCCUUUCAGAGGCAUAAGGAGGAACAAAGUGAAAUGAUGUGAAUCUAUUGAAGACUUGGCUCAGAUCUAAGAUGGUCAUCUCUGCUUUGAAGACAUUCAACUCGAGCUGAUUCACCAAAGCUAAAUCCCCACAUAAUGUGAUUCAGCUUGAAUCUUUUGUGGGUCUUGGUUAGUUUUGUUAACUUUGCACUGUGCACACGGGAUCUUGAGGAGUAGAAGAUAGCGCUG
rnacentral:misc_RNA from 1 species